rnacentral:lncRNA from 1 species
AAAAAAACAAGUAUAAAUAGUAUGUUUUUUCUAACCCUAAAUCUAAAUGCAUUCUCAGCCACCCCCUCUCUGUCUCUCAUUUCUCAAAUCUUACAUGGUCUUUGUCUCUCAUCUCUCAAAUUUGUCUUCAUCUCUUCCAAUCUUCCAUGCUCUUUGUCUCUCAUCUCUCAACUCUGUCUUCUUUUUCUCCAUGCAUUCUCAGUCCUGUGUCAAUUUGGGUCUCUCCCUCUUCUCCAAAGGACAGGUAAUGGAUUCUUUUGGGUUUCUUGAAUUUUGCUGAUUCUUUCUCAUUUAUUUUACAGGGAAAGAUGCAACAAACGAUUUUGAAGAUGUGGGUCACAACGAUGAUGCUAGAGAGAUGAUGGAAAAGUAUGACAAUAUUGGUGAGGUAGAUGUAACAACAGUCCCAACGAAACGCCUCUACGUAGCACCAGGUUUGGAAGGAACAAACCCUAAAGACAAGAAGCCUGGGUUUCUAAUUAAGAUCUGCAACUACUCGUGCCACUCCUGAUCUUGGGCUUGACUCUUGCUGUCCGAACCUACACCAAGAAAGAGUAGAGGCUAUGAUUUAUCAGGAUCUACCCUUUUGAGGGGUUAAAUGGGGAUUCAAUCCCUUGCGUUGUGUUUGUGCUGAAGAUGCUUUAGUUCAGUAUAAAAAAUAAAAGUGCUGAAAAAUGUGGUUAAUAAAAAGCCUAGAAAAAACUCAACCGGAAUAAUUUCGGUUUGAACCGGUUUGGAAAGGAAAAAAACCGAACCGAAAUUAAUUAAUUUGAACCGGUUUUCGGUUCGGUUCAAAAACUAAAAAAAAAAUUGGUUUGGUUGUUUAUUUUGAUCCAAAAUCAGACCAAACUGAAAAUACUCAGCCCUACUAACUAAUGUAAGGAUAACUUUAAUCCUUAUUCUCGAACAAAUAAAUAAAUAAAAUCAAACAUUAUCUAUGGAUUUGUUUGGAUUAUUUCCAUACAUUUUUCUCAUUGAAUUUACAUAGAAACCUUACAAAGGGAUUGGGAAUAAAUGUACUAUAGACUAAAUAUAUCCCUCCCUCUUACAUCUUAUUUUCAUGUCCAAAUAUGUGAAAUUGUGAAUGCACUUCUACAUGUAGAAAAUUUUCAAAUCAAUUUCAAGUUAAGGAAAGUAAAAUAAAAUCUUGGAUUGAAGAUUCACUCUGAGUUCUGUACAUUUAAGAAAUAAAAUAUGACUAAGAAAAAUGCAAUGCAUAGUAGAAAAACCAAACAUCGAUACUUAAACUCCCCUAAUUUAUAAAUAUUUAUUGCCUAAUAUCUAUUUAAGUUGUUUUGUAAUGAAAAAUAUGGGCCUUCCAAAACUUAUAUAAAACUCAAGCCAAAAAAAUCCAGCAAGUACCUUGUUAAAUGUUAACCACAUGUUUCACUGUUCCACACUGUCGAACGUUUGAUUCCAAGAAACUCCUUGUAACGUGUCCGUUUCUUCUCCACUAGCAUA